GACAGAGGUGCCGAGCGUUAGGCGGAAUUACUGGGCUUAAAGCGUGUGUAGGCGGAUGCCUAAGUACCUUGUGAAAUCCCACGGCUUAACCGUGGAACUGCUUGGUAUACUGGGUGUCUUGAGCCACUUAGGGGCGACCGGAACAAACGGUGGAGCGGUGAAAUGCGUAGAUAUCGUUUGGAACGCCAAUGGUGAAAACAGGUCGCUGGGAGUGCGCUGACGCUGAGACACGAAAGCCAGGGGAGCGAACGGG
rnacentral:rRNA from 1 species